AAAUUGAAGAGUUUGAUCAUGGCUCAGAUUGAACGCUGGCGGCAGGCCUAACACAUGCAAGUCGAACGGUAGCACAGAGAGCUUGCUCUCGGGUGACGAGUGGCGGACGGGUGAGUAAUGUCUGGGAAACUGCCUGAUGGAGGGGAAUAACUACUGGAAACGGUGGCUAAUACCGCAUAACGUCGC
rnacentral:rRNA from 1 species